rnacentral:rRNA from 1 species
CCUACGGGAGGCAGCAGUGGGGAAUUUUGGACAAUGGGCGCAAGCCUGAUCCAGCCAUGCCGCGUGAGUGAAGAAGGCCUUCGGGUUGUAAAGCUCUUUCGGCAGGAACGAAAUGGUUCGUGCUAAUACCACGGACUGAUGACGGUACCUGAAGAAGAAGCACCGGCUAACUACGUGCCAGCAGCCGCGGUAAUACGUAGGGUGCAGGCGUUAAUCGGAAUUACUGGGCGUAAAGCGUGCGCAGGCGGUUUCUUAAGUCAGAUGUGAAAGCCCCGGGCUUAACCUGGGAACUGCGUUUGAAACUGAGAGACUUGAGUGUGGCAGAGGGGGGUGGAAUUCCACGUGUAGCAGUGAAAUGCGUAGAUAUGUGGAGGAACACCGAUGGCGAAGGCAACCCCCUGGGUCAACACUGACGCUCAUGCACGAAAGCGUGGGGAGCA